rnacentral:rRNA from 1 species
AGUGAACGCUGGCGGUAGGCCUAACACAUGCAAGUCGAACGGCAGCACAGUAAGAGCUUGCUCUUACGGGUGGCGAGUGGCGGACGGGUGAGGAAUACAUCGGAAUCUACUUUUUCGUGGGGGAUAACGUAGGGAAACUUACGCUAAUACCGCAUACGACCUACGGGUGAAAGCAGGGGAUCUACGGACCUUGCGCGAUUGAAUGAGCCGAUGUCGGAUUAGCUAGUUGGCGGGGUAAAGGCCCACCAAGGCGACGAUCCGUAGCUGGUCUGAGAGGAUGAUCAGCCACACUGGAACUGAGACACGGUCCAGACUCCUACGGGAGGCAGCAGUGGGGAAUAUUGGACAAUGGGCGCAAGCCUGAUCCAGCCAUACCGCGUGGGUGAAGAAGGCCUUCGGGUUGUAAAGCCCUUUUGUUGGGAAAGAAAAGCAGCAGGUUAAUACCCCGCUGUUCUGAGGGUACCCAAAGAAUAAGCACCGGCUAACUUCGUG